AUGAUCAGUCUACUGCGAGACCCAAUGCAUGUUGUACCAAUAAAUAAAAAAUAAAUUCGUCUCAAUAUUGAUGUGGCGCAUUUUUGAUGCGAACUGACAGAAACGGUCUGUUUUUGCCUGAAGUUUUUGUUUUUAAAUUUGAGAUCUACAAAGACUAAAAUUGCAGUAUCUAAUGUAAUAAAAUGUGGAAUCAAAUUUGGUACUCUUUGCUGCUGCUGCUCAAGGCUGCUCCGGCAGGAUUUUUUGUUGCUUUAACGGCUACUGAAGCUAUCAGAGAGUUGAAACUUUACAUAGGAGACACUAUUGAAAUCAAUACCAUGAUCACGGCUACUUUAUUCAUUACAUACAUAAUAUACAUUAUGACGAGUGCCUUCAGCUUGGUGUUGAGGAUUUACUUCAUUUUGUUUACAACCGCUAUAUCUAUCUCUAUUUAUAAAAACUGGAAUUUUAGAACAAGGUUUUUCUUCCAUUGGAUGCACUUGUUUAGCUUUUGGGCAAUAAGAAACAUUCUACUGCAUUAUCUGUUGAUUCCAAAAUCAGAUUUGCAGUUAAUAUUUAUUCUAUCUCCAUGGAUAUUUACAUCCUUCACCGCAGAUGUCUAAAUUGGAAUACAAUGAAUUGAUCUGAUCGAUAUCUCAGUGGAUCAACAUGUAGGGCUUUUUCAUCUUAAAAUUGGACUCUCUGUGUCAUCUAAUUACCGUAAAAUCCUAGUAUACGAUGCAUGCUUAAUUUGAUUUUGAAAAAUGUCGCCAACAAAUGGAAUGAUACAUUGACCAUUGUCGCGAAAAUGUUGGUAUACCGGGAUGUAGCACAACCUUAAGACGACAUCGGUGUAGGGUAUACGUUGAAAAUGUACACCGGAUAGUGGUACUAAACGAGAAAAAAACUAUAUCUAACCAACUAUGUCGAACCAAAUCUACAACUACUGAUUCCAAACAUUAUGGCCUUUUUAAAUGUCACCAAAUCCACCGCGUAACGUAUACUAGGAUUAAGCUAAAUUACCUCUCUGAUACUUUAGGAGCAGAUGACAAGACAUUUAAGUUUUACAAAAAUCUAAAAAUUUUAUUUCAUGAAUGAUUUUUAGUCAAAUUUUUAUCAUAUGAUGUUGGAUUAUCAACUGUGCUUUUAAGUAAACUAUAUAAACUAUAUAUAUAUACUAAAUGUUAUUGCAUUAUGCAUGAAAACCAUUUUGUUGUGUGCUUUGCAUGUGUAUUUCUGUUAAUAAAUUUAAACAGUACACUUUUUACCUAACUUAUUUUCAGAAUGUCAUUGCUUAUUGUACGAUGUAAUUUUAGUUGUAACACGCUUCACUUAAAGUACGGAACCAUGAUUUUUGAAAUAAAUAUUUUAUAAUAUA